GACGGAGGGUGCUAGCGUUGUUCGGAAUCACUGGGCGUAAAGGGCGCGUAGGCGGCUUGGUUAGUCAGAUGUGAAAGCCCGGGGCUCAACUCCGGAAUUGCAUUUGAGACUCCCAAGCUGGAGGUCGGAAGAGGAGGGUGGAAUAUCCAGUGUAGAGGUGAAAUUCGUAGAUAUUGGAUGGAACACCGGUGGCGAAAGCGGCUCUCUGGUCCGAACCUGACGCUGAGGCGCGAAAGCGUGGGGAGCAAACAGGAUUAGAAACCCCCGUAGUCC
rnacentral:rRNA from 1 species